UACGUAGGGUGCAGGCGUUAAUCGGAAUUACUGGGCGUAAAGCGUGCGCAGGCGGUUUGCUAAGACAGGUGUGAAAUCCCCGGGCUUAACCUGGGAACUGCGCUUGUAACUGGCAAGCUAGAGUGUGGCAGAGGGGGGUGGAAUUCCACGUGUAGCAGUGAAAUGCGUAGAGAUCUGGAGGUACACCGAUGGCGAAGGCAGCCCCCUGGGCUAACACUGACGCUCAUGCACGAAAGCGUGGGGAGCAAACAGG
rnacentral:rRNA from 1 species